ACUCUGCUUUCCUUUGUUUCUUUUUUGUGUAAAAGGUUUCUAGGCGUUCGUGGCUCUUUUUCCUGGUCCGCACAAAAAAGAACAUCGUUGCAGGCAACAGAAAAGGAUGUGCAAUAAGAAGAUGCAACAUAUAAUCUGAUAAGACCUUGCACAUGUCAGGGAGAGGUGGAGAUGGUGGAGGAGGUGGUGGAGGUGAGUUGGGGUGAUGCUGAUCAUAAUAACAAAGAUCUGUAGCAAUAUGCCAAAGAAGAAUGCUAUGGUGAAAUUCAACUUCAACAAUACUCCAUCCAAGGAGCUUCUGGAGAUAGUCUCCACUUGUGCUCAAGUGUUUCACAUCAUUAUUAUUAUUUGUGGUAGAGGCACCGCCUGGUUCUAACUUCCUCUUCAGCCGUUCGAAUAUCAUUUCUUUCAGCUUAUCAGGGACGACCUCAAAAGAAGUAUAUCUGUACAUCUCUAUCAUUUCCAGUACAUUGCUGAGCUUCACAAGUUCCACAAUAAACUUUAACCUUCAUUA